rnacentral:rRNA from 1 species
GACGAACGCUGGCGGCGUGCUUAACACAUGCAAGUCGAACGGAAAGGCCCUGCUUUUGUGGGGUGCUCGAGUGGCGAACGGGUGAGUAACACGUGAGUAACCUGCCCUUGACUUUGGGAUAACUUCAGGAAACUGUGGCUAAUACCGGAUAGGAGCUCCUGCUGCAUGGUGGGGGUUGGAAAGUUUCGGCGGCUGGGGAUGGACUCGCGGCUUAUCAGCUUGUUGGUGGGGUAGUGGCUUACCAAGGCUUUGACGGGUAGCCGGCCUGAGAGGGUGACCGGCCACAUUGGGACUGAGAUACGGCCCAGACUCCUACGGGAGGCAGCAGUGGGGAAUAUUGCACAAUGGGCGGAAGCCUGAUGCAGCAACGCCGCGUGCGGGAUGACGGCCUUCGGGUUGUAAACCGCUUUCGCCUGUGACGAAGCGUGAGUGACGGUAAUGGGUAAAGAAGCACCGGCUAACUACGUG